GACGAACGCUGGCGGCGUGCCUAAAACAUGCAAGUCGAACGAGGUAGCAAUACCUAGUGGCGAACGGCGGAGUAAUACGUGAACAACGUGCCCUAAAGAUCGGGAUAGCCAGGGGAAACCCUGAGUAAUACCGGAUGUGGCGAUUUCUCGGCAUCGAGAGAUCACUAAAUGGUUUUUCGCUUUGGGAGCGGUUCACGGCCUAUCAGCUAGUUGGCGGGGUAAUAGCCCACCAAGGCUACGACGGGUAGGGGGUCUGAAAGGAUGAUCCCCCCGAGUGGGACUGAGACACGGCCCACACACCUACGGGUGGCAGCAGUUGAGAAUCUUGCACAAUGGGGGAAACCCUGAUGCAGCGACGCCGCGUGGAGGAUGAAGGGUCUAGGCUCGUAAACUCCUUUUUUCGGGAAAGACUUAGGACGGUACCCGAAGAAUAAGCUCCGGCUAACUACGUGCCAGCAGCCGCGGUAAGACGUAGGGAGCGAGCGUUGUCCGGAUUUACUGGGCGUAAAGCGCGCGUAGGCGGUCUGUUAA
rnacentral:rRNA from 1 species